rnacentral:rRNA from 1 species
UACGUAGGGUGCAAGCGUUGUCCGGAAUUAUUGGGCGUAAAGAGCUCGUAGGCGGUCUGUCGCGUCGGAUGUGAAAAUCCAGGGCUCAACCCUGGACCUGCAUUCGAUACGGGCAGACUAGAGUUCGGUAGGGGAGACUGGAAUUCCUGGUGUAGCGGUGAAAUGCGCAGAUAUCAGGAGGAACACCGGUGGCGAAGGCGGGUCUCUGGGCCGAAACUGACGCUGAGGAGCGAAAGCGUGGGGAGCAAACGGG